rnacentral:rRNA from 1 species
GGUUAAGUGACUAAGCGUACACGGUGGAUGCCUUGGCAGUCAGAGGCGAUGAAGGACGUAGUAACUUGCGAUAAGCGUAGAUGAGGCAGUAACAGCCACUUGAGUCUACGAUUUCCGAAUGGGGAAACCCACUGGCAUAAGCCAGUAUCAUUGAGUGAAUACAUAGCUCAAUGAAGCGAACCGGGAGAACUGAAACAUCUAAGUACCCCGAGGAAAAGAAAUCAACCGAGAUUCCGAAAGUAGCGGCGAGCGAAAUUGGAUUAGCCCUUAAGCUUUACAUGUGUUAGACGAACGGUCUGGAAAGUCCGACGAUACAGGGUGAUAGUCCCGUAGUUGACGAUGCAUGUUCAGUGAAAUCGAGUAGGGCGGGACACGUGUUAUCCUGUCUGAAUAUGGGGGGACCAUCCUCCAAGGCUAAAUACUCCUGACUGACCGAUAGUGAACCAGUACCGUGAGGGAAAGGCGAAAAGAACCCCUGUGAGGGGAGUGAAAUAGAACCUGAAACCGUGUACGUACAAGCAGUAGGAGCACCUUCGUGGUGUGACUGCGUACCUUUUGUAUAAUGGGUCAGCGACUUAUAUUCAGUGGCAAGGUUAACCAUCUAGGGGAGCCGUAGGGAAACCGAGUCUUAACUGGGCGCCAUAGUCUCUGGAUAUAGACCCGAAACCGAGUGAUCUAGCCAUGGGCAGGUUGAAGGUUGAGUAACAUCAACUGGAGGACCGAACCGACUAAUGUUGAAAAAUUAGCGGAUGACUUGUGGCUAGGGGUGAAAGGCCAAUCAAACUCGGAGAUAGCUGGUUCUCCCCGAAAGCUAUUUAGGUAGCGCCUCGGACGAAUACUACUGGGGGUAGAGCACUGUUAAGGCUAGGGGGUCAUCCCGACUUACCAACCCUUUGCAAACUCCGAAUACCAGUAAGUACUAUCCGGGAGACACACGGCGGGUGCUAACGUCCGUCGUGGAGAGGGAAACAACCCAGACCGCCAGCUAAGGUCCCAAAUUACAGCUAAGUGGGAAACGAUGUGGGAAGGCUUAGACAGCUAGGAUGUUGGCUUAGAAGCAGCCAUCAUUUAAAGAAAGCGUAAUAGCUCACUAGUCGAGUCGGCCUGCGCGGAAGAUGUAACGGGGCUAAGUUGUAAACCGAA